rnacentral:rRNA from 1 species
UACGGAGGGUGCAAACGUUGCUCGGAAUCAUUGGGCGUAAAGCGCACGUAGGCGGCCUGUUAAGUCGGGUGUGAAAUCCCUGGGCUCAACCCAGGAAGUGCACUCGAAACUGGCAGGCUUGAGUACUGAAGAGGGUCGCGGAAUUCCCGGUGUAGAGGUGAAAUUCGUAGAUAUCGGGAGGAACACCAGUGGCGAAGGCGGCGACCUGGGCAGAUACUGACGCUGAGGCACGAAAGCGUGGGUAGCAAACAGG